GAUGAACGCUGGCGGCGUGCCUAAUACAUGCAAGUCGAGCGAACAGAUAAGGAGCUUGCUCCUUUGACGUUAGCGGCGGACGGGUGAGUAACACGUGGGUAACCUACCUAUAAGACUGGGAUAACUUCGGGAAACCGGAGCUAAUACCGGAUAACAUUUGGAACCGCAUGGUUCUAAAGUGAAAGAUGGUUUUGCUAUCACUUAUAGAUGGACCCGCGCCGUAUUAGCUAGUUGGUAAGGUAACGGCUUACCAAGGCGACGAUACGUAGCCGACCUGAGAGGGUGAUCGGCCACACUGGAACUGAGACACGGUCCAGACUCCUACGGGGGGCAGCAGUAGGGAAUCUUCCGCAAUGGGCGAAAGCCUGACGGAGCAACGCCGCGUGAGUGAUGAAGGGUUUCGGCUCGUAAAACUCUGUUAUUAGGGAAGAACAAACGUGUAAGUAACUGUGCACGUCUUGACGGUACCUAAUCAGAAAGCCACGGCUAACUACGUG
rnacentral:rRNA from 1 species